GACGAACGCUGGCGGCGUGCUUAACACAUGCAAGUCGAACGGAAAGGCCCUGCUUUUGUGGGGUGCUCGAGUGGCGAACGGGUGAGUAACACGUGAGUAACCUGCCCUUGACUUUGGGAUAACUUCAGGAAACUGGGGCUAAUACCGGAUAGGAGCUCCUGCUGCAUGGUGGGGGUUGGAAAGUUUCGGCGGUUGGGGAUGGACUCGCGGCUUAUCAGCUUGUUGGUGGGGUAGUGGCUUACCAAGGCUUUGACGGGUAGCCGGCCUGUGAGGGUGACCGGCGACAUUGGGACUGAGAUACGGCCCAGACUCCUACGGGAGGCAGCAGUGGGGAAUAUUGCACAAUGGGCGGAAGCCUGAUGCAGAAACGCCGCGUGCGGGAUGACGGCCUUCGGGUUGUAAACCGAUUUCGCCUGUGACGAAGCGUGAGUGACGGUAAUGGGUAAAGAAGCACCGGCUAACUACGUG
rnacentral:rRNA from 1 species